UUAAAAAAAUUCUAUGGGAGUAUUUGAGACUUUUCUUUAGGGAGAGGGGUGUGUAACAGCUUGCAGUUACAUUUGUCUUAUUAGCUCUCUGUACUGUGUAAUACUCCGUUCUACCACUAGGGGGUACUCUAGUAAGGAAGGUUCCUAGUAGCAUAAAAUGGUAGAAGAAGUAGAGUAAGGAAGGAAGGAUGUGUUAAGCACAUGGAGAAGCUUCCCUACUAGUGUGGUCAUGUUUUUCCCUGAUUUGAGGAACCUGUGGUUCUUAUGCUCAAACAGGGUUCAUCGUGCAGGCAUGAGGCAGCAACUCAUCUAUAACUAAACCCUUGACCAAUAUGGAAUUAAUUGUCUACAAUCACACCUUUGGCAUCUGCUGUUUGUGCCUUGAACUACAGUUUGUCCUAGUAUCAACCGCUGCUUGGACACUUGGAUUCAGACCAUUGUGAACUCUUCCACUCUGCGCUUAAGUACAGUUUCUUGUUACUUGUGGGACUCUAAGGACUGAACUCUUGGCUACCAAAAGCAUUAUUGGGAAGAGCUGAAUUAGCCCUAUUGUCUUGUAAAUGAAUGCCUCAUGUAUAUUUUGUAUGGUUACUGCCUGAAUGCUGAUUUAUGGUAUAAUACACAUGGCUCAUUGAAAUGUGAA